CAACAUUUCUGAGUAUAACAUAGGAAAUUAUUUGGUUUCCCAUAUAACAAAUUACAGAUUUAACUUGAGGCAAAAAAGGUUAAGUGACUUACCCAAGGUUACAAUUAGAGGUACAGCUGGGGCUAGAAACCAGGUCUCCUGAGUCUCAGCCCAGUGCUCUUUUCCUUAGCCCAUGAUGCCUUAUCAGAAAAAUCCAAAUACAGUCAGACCCCCAGUUAUAUGGGUAUGAGUUACACUGAUUCACAUAUACAAACUUUAUAUAGUGUGACCAAUGUUUCAACUCACGCGGUACCCUGCUUCCAUUUAUGCAGUAUGCCAGGCAUCGGCACGAUUUUCAGUGGCACACAGGCGGUUGCCACCACCAGGGCCCUAGGCAAAAUUGCAAAGAAGGCAGAGUUUGUCUUUGGCCCUCCCACCUCCCUUAUGCAUUUCUCUCCCACCUCCUGGCAGUCCCCCUGCCCAGCCUCCCGGCACCAUCAUGCUGCCCUCAGAUUGUCUAAAGCCCCCAACUUCCACCACUCACCCAGGAAUGUCCUUUCUUGAAGUGCCCAGUGAUCCAAAAUUACCUCUCCAUUUCCCUGCUAACAAAAUUCCUACUCCUAAGGAUUCCAGUGAAGUUUAGGUAAUCUAAAUGAUUAACUACUUUAUGUAAUUCAAGUUAAGGUAUAUUUAACUAACAGACUUAAAUCUCCAAUGAAUUUUAAAAGGAACUAAUUAAAAACUGUCAGGAAGGGGAGGGGGAAGAAACCUUGAGGGGGUGAGGAGGUAAUGUUUUCCCAAAGCCCCAGGACUCUGUGCCACUUCAGAUUCCUUCACAGACAGGACACUAAGAGGUUCCCAUUAAAUGGUUUCAAAUUACAUGGUGUUAUUCAGGGGACGUUUCCAUGUUCCCCUAUCCCUGGGUAACUUGAAGUUGACUGUAUGCUAAAAAAGAACAAUCCUAAUUAUUAAAAGUCCUGAAUCAUAAAAUGAUAUAUAUAAACUCAUUAAAUGGUAAGAAAAAAAAGAAUGUUCUGAUUAUUUUGCAUAUAUAGAAUUAAUUUUGAUAUCUAAAAAAAACUCCACUCAAUUAUUUUUCCUUGAAAGUAGUAUAUUUUUUACUUCUAACCCAAUACAGCAGUGAAAAUCCAGUCAUUUCAGCUAAACAAUACUGUGGACUCGUAAAUAUGAGUUCGAUCAUAAAUCCUCUAAGUCUGAAGGUUAAAAAAAAAAAUCCAGUAACAGACACAUAAAAAAAUACACAAAGUGGAUUUUAAGAAAUCCAUGUUUCUGCUGACUACACACACAGAAAUAUAUAUAUUUAAAUUUAGCUUUGCAAUACUAGACGGGCUGCCUAAUUCAGAAACUUAUCAGGAGAUGGUUUACCUUGAUCCAACUACCCUCCCAGUAAAACUAAGAAAUCCAAUCCAUGAAGAAGAUCCCAAAAAUGGUAUCCAUCAAGGAUUAAAAGGAUC
rnacentral:lncRNA from 10 species